UACGAAGGGGGCUAGCGUUGCUCGGAAUUACUGGGCGUAAAGCGCACGUAGGCGGCUUUCUAAGUCGGGGGUGAAAUCCUGGAGCUUAACUCCAGAACUGCCUUCGAUACUGGAGAGCUCGAGUCCGGGAGAGGUGAGUGGAACUGCGAGUGUAGAGGUGAAAUUCGUAGAUAUUCGCAAGAACACCAGUGGCGAAGACGGCUCACUGGCCCGGUACUGACGCUGAGGUGCGAAAGCGUGGGGAGCAAACAGG
rnacentral:rRNA from 1 species